rnacentral:lncRNA from 1 species
GUCCAGGGGCACCCAUCUCUAUGGAAUAAAAUGCAAGCGGCACCUCCUAGAGUUGUGCAGUGGCCCUGUGCCCAAACCUGGCAUUCAAGCCAUCCCCCAGGAGUAAUCCUAAAAGCACAUUCUUGAGGCUGACCUGGGUGGGUAAUGGAGGCGGUGACUGAGAAAACAUUGUUUCUCUAUAUGCAGCCAAGUCGCCCCUAUAGAACUCAACCCCCAGAUCCUGGCUCAAUCAACUCUGCUCUAAGGAUCUCAUUCUGCUAACAAAGGUCCAGAGAAGGAAGGAGUCACAUGUUUCUCAGAGGAUACGUGGAUAACAAAAACAACGCCAUCCAGUUUGCCAAAACAAAGUCUCCCUGUGGCCCUGCUGUCACUUUCCAAGCUACAGACAAGUGCCUUUUUCCCCCUAACUCUCAACUCAGCAUUGUGGGAACUAAACAUCACAAUCAGCUUCAGGAGCCUCACUGUUGCCAUGGGUUACAUGAAUUCAAAUCUAAGGAUGGAACCAAAACAGGCCCUUAAAUAUCAGCCCUCGAGUGGGAGGUGAAAUGAAGUGCUCUAACACCUUAAAGGAAAACAGGAGACGCGUGGCAAGGGGGCUUGCAAGUCUUGGCGGAUACCCAGAGAAAUAAGAACGAAUGUCUGAAACUAGACCUGCGCCGUCCAAUGAUAGCCACUGGCCACAGGCGGCCAUUAAGCACUUGAAACAUGGCUAGUCUGAUUUAAGAUGUGCUAUAAGCGUAAAACCCACACCAGAUGGCAAAGACUCAGGAUGAAAAAGGAAUGUAAAAGUCACUUUAAUAAUUUUAGGUUAUUUUGUACAGUAGUCACUGUAUUGGGUUAUCUUAAAUAUACCAUAUAGUGAGUUAUCAUACAGAACUAAAUAAAUCGGGUUAAAUAAAAU